UACGUAGGGUGCAAGCGUUGUCCGGAAUUAUUGGGCGUAAAGAGCUCGUAGGCGGCUUGUCACGUCGACUGUGAAAACCCGGGGCUCAACUCCGGGCCUGCAGUCGAUACGGGCUGGCUUGAGUGCGGUAGGGGAGACUGGAAUUCCUGGUGUAGCGGUGAAAUGCGUAGAUAUUGGGAGGAACACCAGUGGCGAAGGCGGCUCACUGGACCGGUACUGACGCUGAUGCGCGAAAGCGUGGGGAGCAAACGGG
rnacentral:rRNA from 1 species